rnacentral:rRNA from 1 species
CGGGGGGGGGCUAGCGUUGUUCGGAAUUACUGGGCGUAAAGGGCUCGUAGGUGGCCAACUAAGUCAUGCGUGAAAUCCCUCGGCUUAACCGGGGAACUGCGUCUGAUACUGGAUGGCUUGAAUCCGGGAGAGGGAUGCGGAAUUCCAGGUGUAGCGGUGAAAUGCGUAGAUAUCUGGAGGAACACCGGUGGCGAAGGCGGCAUCCUGGACCGGCAUUGACACUGAGGAGCGAAAGCCAGGGGAGCAAACGGGAUUAGAUACCCCGGUAGUCCUGGCCCUAAACGAUGAAUGCUUGGUGUGACGGGUAUCGAUCCCUGUCGUGCCGAAGCUAACGCAUUAAGCAUUCCGCCUGGGGAGUACGGUCGCAAGGCUG